rnacentral:rRNA from 1 species
CAGUCGCCGCGGGAAUACGGAGGGUGCAAGCGUUAAUCGGAAUUACUGGGCGUAAAGCGCACGCAGGCGGUCUGACAAGUCAGAUGUGAAAUCCCCGGGCUUAACCUGGGAACUGCAUUUGAAACUGUCAGGCUGGAGUCUUGUAGAGGGGGGUGGAAUUCCAGGUGUAGCGGUGAAAUGCGUAGAGAUCUGGAGGAAUACCGGUGGCGAAGGCGGCCCCCUGGACAAAGACUGACGCUCAGGUGCGAAAGCGUGGGGAGCAAACAGGAUUAGAUACCCCUGUAGUCCUGUCUCUUAUACA